AUCUAGCCAAAAUCUUCCCUUGAGAGUAACAACUUUCGGGUUGACAUCCCUACUCGAGGAGGGGUUUUAGUCGGUAGGCGCUUCGGCGAAUCCGACACUACCCCUUUUCAAGGGGUGUCUUUUGAAGAUUUCCCCUCCUCGAGAAUA
rfam:Agrilus planipennis Contig57075, whole genome shotgun sequence.